GCGGAGGGAUCAUUACAGAGUUGCAAAACUCCCACAAACCAUUGUGAACACACCCCCAAACCGUUGCCUCGGCGGGCGCGGACGGGCCCCCUGAAAGACGGGCGCCCCGAAGCGCUGUAGCCCGCCGGAGCCAAACGCAAACUAUUGUUUAACCACUGGCUUCUUCUGAGUAACGUACUUAAAUAAGUCAAAACUUUCAACAACGGAUCUCUUGGUUCUGGCAUCGAUGAAGAACGCAGCGAAAUGCGAUAAGUAAUGUGAAUUGCAGAAUUCAGUGAAUCAUCGAAUCUUUGAACGCACAUUGCGCCCGCCAGUAUUCUGGCGGGCAUGCCUGUUCGAGCGUCAUUUCAACCAUCAAGCCCCCGGCUUGUGUUGGGGACCCGCGGCUGCCGCGGGCCCUGAAAGACAGUGGCGGUCUCGCUGUAGCACCGAGCGUAGUAGCAUACACCUCGCUCAGGGCGCGCAGCGGGCUUCCUGCCGUAAAACCCCCCCCCUUCUUUUACAAGGUUGACCUCGGAUCAGGUAGGAAUACCCGCUGAACUUAAGCAUAUCAAUAAGCGGAGGA
rnacentral:rRNA from 1 species